rnacentral:rRNA from 1 species
AACGUUUCGAAAGGAACGCUAAUACCGCAUACGUCCUACGGGAGAAAGCAGGGACCUUCGGGCCUUGCGCUAUCAGAUGAGCCUAGGUCGGAUUAGCUAGUUGGUGAGGUAAUGGCUCACCAAGGCGACGAUCCGUAACUGGUCUGAGAGGAUGAUCAGUCACACUAGAACUGAGACACGGUCCAGACUCCUACGGGAGGCAGCAGUA